ACCAGACUCCUACGGGAGGCAGCAGUGGGGAAUAUUGCACAAUGGGGGGAACCCUGAUGCAGCGACGCCGCGUGAGUGAAGAAGUAUUUCGGUAUGUAAAGCUCUAUCAGCAGGGAAGAAAAUGACGGUACCUGACUAAGAAGCCCCGGCUAACUACGUGCCAGCAGCCGCGGUAAUACGUAGGGGGCAAGCGUUAUCCGGAUUUACUGGGUGUAAAGGGGGCGCAGACGGCGAUGCAAGCCAGGAGUGAAAGCCCGGGGCCCAACCCCGGGACUGCUCUUGGAACUGCGUGGCUGGAGUGCAGGAGGGGCAGGCGGAAUUCCUAGUGUAGCGGUGAAAUGCGUAGAUAUUAGGAGGAACACCAGUGGCGAAGGCGGCCUACUGGACGGUGACUGACGCUGAGGCUCGAAAGCGUGGGGAGCAAACAGGAUUAGAUACCCCUGUAGA
rnacentral:rRNA from 1 species